rnacentral:rRNA from 1 species
UACGUAGGGUGCGAGCGUUGUCCGGAAUUAUUGGGCGUAAAGAGCUCGUAGGCGGCUUGUCGUGUCGGAUGUGAAAGCCCGGGGCUUAACUCCGGGUCUGCAUUCGAUACGGGCAGGCUAGAGUUCGGUAGGGGAGAUCGGAAUUCCUGGUGUAGCGGUGAAAUGCGCAGAUAUCAGGAGGAACACCGGUGGCGAAGGCGGAUCUCUGGGCCGAUACUGACGCUGAGGAGCGAAAGCGUGGGGAGCGAACAGG